GCUUCCACUUUCUCAUUCCCGUUUCUUCUAGAACUAGAACUAGAAGGUCCCUGCGCUACCACCAACUUCCAUGAGAACUUCCCAUAUGAAGCUCUGGUUUUCAUCUCCUAACAUGUAGAAAUUUGAGCCCUAACUCCACCUUCCAUUUCUAAUGGAUUCUAAUUUUGUAUUCAUUUACUUUCCUUCUGUCUUUUUCCCCAAAGGCCCAUUACAGACUUUGCUUCCUUUUUCGUUUAAUUUUCUUAGAAAUCCCAAAUUGGUUGCUCCAUUUCUUUCUUUAUCCGAUUUUUGGCCUUAGCUUCUAGGUUCGUAUCAAAAUUAUCCAUUUUGCUUCCACUUUGUUAGUGACUUCGGUUUCUGAUUUCUGUGGAUGAUGCCAACAUUCCCGCCGAGGUUGAAGUACAUAUGCUGGUGUUUAUCAUCAGCAAGUUUAUCAUAGUGAAUGUCAUUUUUCAUCAUAGUGGAUUGUUGAAAUCUCAUCAGCUUUGUCAAAUGCAAGCCCAGAAUUUUAAGUAUCCUCCAGAAUGAUUCCCAUAAAGGUUCAUUAAACUAGGACCUCAAUUGCACGAUUUAAGGAAGAAAGCUACGAAAUAGAUGAGUUCAUUCUAUCUACAAGGAGGAGACUUGAAUUUGUUGAUUUUUGUACAAAUCCCCCCUUCUUAUAAGGACUAAUGUAAAAACUGAGGUUCAUUGAAGUUAGCUACAGGUGGAAGAUGGCACAACUGGGAGAUACAGGACUUUCUGCAGUUAGAAGUAUCCUCUCUGGCACUUAUCUUCCUUUUGUCUUUUGCUAUUUUACUAUUUUGCUGCUUCAACCAAUCAAUGACGGAGUGUACCUCCCAAAACGGUGUCUUAAGGAUUUGGGAAACAUUUCGACUACUCUAGAGCUUUUGUGAAAAAAUGUUAAUUUGAACUGGACAACAUAUUUAAGGUUUCUGACAUGGUAGCAAAUGCACUGAACACGCCUGAAUCUGGAAUCAUGGAUCAUACAUGAGUGGACUCUGCUGUUUAUUUACAGAUCUACUUGAUUAGGGUAUUAUUUAUAUGAUUUGUAUUCCAUCUGUCUUUGUUUCUACCGACAGUACAAUAUAUAAGAUUGCAAACUCAACUUUUCUUUUAUGUUCUGGUUUGUACAUUUAUAUUUUGAUAACCAAGACCCCAUGUAAGCUUUUGUAACCAAAA